rnacentral:rRNA from 1 species
CAGUAGCGUAUAUUAAAGUUGUUGCAGUUAAAAUGCUCGUAGUUGAAGUUCGGAUGCAGCAGAGCUGGGAAACGCUGUUAUGGUGCUUCCGUUGCUUUUGCUUGUCCACAGUGCGUUGCAAGUACGUAUGUGCUUGUGCGUGCAUUUUACUUUGAGAAACAUAGGGUGUUCCACGCAUGUUACGGCAUGAAUAUUCCAGCAUGGGAUAAUCUGGUACGACUUCCAAUCUGCCAUUUUGGUUCGUAGGUUGGAAGUAAUGAUUAAUAGGGACUGUCGGGGGCAUUGGUAUUUGACUGUCAGAGGUGAAAUUCUUAGAUUCGUUGAGGACCAACCACUGCGAAAGCAUUUGUCAAGGAUGUCUCCAUUAA